AUGUGUGUAGCUCAGUUGGUAUAGUGCUUGCCUUGAAUGCAUUAAGUCCUGGGUUUCAACCCCAGCACCUAAU
rnacentral:tRNA from 1 species